rnacentral:rRNA from 1 species
GUGCCAGCCGCCGCGGUAAUACGUAGGGGGCAAGCGUUAUCCGGAAUCACUGGGCGUAAAGGGCGUCUAGGCGGCAAGGCAAGUCUCGCGUAAAAGCUCCCGGCUCAACUGGGAGAGCGCGCGAGAAACUGCCUGGCUAGAGACUCGGAGAGGGGUGUGGAAUUCCCGGUGGAGUGGUGAAAUGCGUUGAGAUCGGGAGGAACACCAGUAGCGAAGGCGGCACCCUGGCCGAGUUCUGACGCUGAAGCGCGACAGCGUGGGGAGCAAACGGGAUUAGAUACCCCAGUAGUCC